UACGUAGGGUGCAAGCGUUGUCCGGAAUUACUGGGCGUAAAGGGCCAGUAGGCGGCCAACUAAGUCGGAUGUGAAAUCCCCAGGCUUAACCUGGGAACUGCAUCCGAUACUGGAUGGCUUGAAUUCGGGAGAGGGAUGCAGAAUUCCAGGUGUAGCGGUGAAAUGCGUAGAUAUCUGGAGGAAUACCGGUGGCGAAGGCGGCAUCCUGGACCGACAUUGACGCUGAACGGCGAAAGCUAGGGGAGCAAACGGG
rnacentral:rRNA from 1 species